GGUUUCGGUGGCCUAGUGGUUAGAGCUUUCGCCUCGGAUGCGGGAGGUCGUGGUUUCGAACACUGGCCGAGUCA